AGUUUUAUAAAUGAAGUUACAUAUUUAGUGACGUAAUAUGACUUUGAACGAACUCUGUUCACUGAUAGAAAUUAUAUUUCAGGGUGAAAAAAUGUUUGGCUGUAGAUGUCUGGAAAAUUGAUGGUCCAGGGAGAUGACUCUUUUAUCCUCUCUUUCAACAACUAAUGAUGUGGGCUGAACGGUGCCUUCAUCCUAUAGCAUCGCAUGAACACGGAGGAAUUAUCAUCAUCCAUCACAAUCAAAUCUAUAUCCUGACACCCUUCGAUUUUUCCUAAUACGAAAAUCCCCGUUGGAUUGGACAGAAAAUUGCGUUCACAAAUGUAGUUAAUACUGAAUGUAUCUAUUGCCGUUCUCGUCACCUAUGGUGGGUAAUUCGAAAUUCCAGCCCGGUAUAGAAUUGCUGAAACGAAUGGCGCAGCAUAUGUGGAUUUAACCCCCUGUUUCGGAGGGCUGUUGUCACCAGCGGUGGCUGUGUCCGUUUUGUCAUUGGAAUUUGAUGAUCCACCGUCCCGUGGGGACUGGCUACAUAAAUAUUUGCCUGGGAGUGAUGUAACAAGCUUUGACGAAUAAGGAGAAUUAUCUGAUUCAAUUAUUUCACUGAAUUACUAUUUAACCAUCAAGUAAUUAGGGUCAGUCACGUGCUACAAAGAUUAUAAGCCAAGUUUAUGGUCGAUUAAUUUCAUCAACAAGGCUCAACCCUUUUGUCCCCUUGUUCGUGACAGCAGAUGAAUACUAAAAGCAUUGAAUAUUAACCAAGGUAAAAUUAAACUGUGAAUUUUCAAACAUCUGCAACAGUGAAUAAUGCAAGGAUUUUAUUUCACAUUCACAGAAGUAUAAUUAAUAAUAAAUAAAGAAGGAAGUAAAUUUGUUUCCGGAAAUUGAAGAAACUUCCGAAUGUUCAACAAAGGUCGAGGAAUUAAUUUAAUCGUGAGACCGGCACACGACGAUACACGUCAAAAUGUCGUCGUUAUCAACGUCCUGUUCACCUCUCAGCUGACAUACCAUAAAUCGCGCAUUGACGUGCACCCGCAAAAAAAUCGAACCAGAACGAGAGAGACCAGGACCGUCCUCUCUUGCAAUCUCCAGGAAAAUGAACGCCAUAAAUAAGCACGGUCGGCCAAUAAUUCCGUCGCGAUCGAGCAACAAGAGUUUUUCAUCGGUGCAGCCAGAAAGGGGUGGUGGACUGGACUGAAAAGUAGUGAUGGAACCGAUUCGAUGGUUCCAUUUCAUUUCCAAUUUCAAUCUCAUAUUUAUUUUUCAUAAAAUUUCUAAACUUCAUCUGUACUAAAUUCAGCCUUGCAUUUUUAUUGCGUUCU